UACGUAGGGUCCGAGCGUUAAUCGGAAUUACUGGGCGUAAAGCGUGCGCAGGCGGUUUUGUAAGCCAGAUGUGAAAUCCCCGGGCUUAACCUGGGAAUGGCAUUGGUGACUGCACGGCUAGAGUGUGUCAGAGGGGGGUAGAAUUCCACGUGUAGCAGUGAAAUGCGUAGAGAUGUGGAGGAAUACCGAUGGCGAAGGCAGCCCCCUGGGAUAACACUGACGCUCAUGCACGAAAGCGUGGGGAGCAAACAGG
rnacentral:rRNA from 1 species